UUGGUGACCAGCGGAGGGAUCAUUACCGAGUUUACAACUCCCAAACCCAAUGUGAACGUUACCAAACUGUUGCCUCGGCGGGGUCACGCCCCGGGUGCGUCGCAGCCCCGGAACCAGGCGCCCGCCGGAGGAACCAACCAAACUCUUUCUGUAGUCCCCUCGCGGACGUAUUUCUUUACAGCUCUGAGCAAAAAUUCAAAAUGAAUCAAAACUUUCAACAACGGAUCUCUUGGUUCUGGCAUCGAUGAAGAACGCAGCGAAAUGCGAUAAGUAAUGUGAAUUGCAGAAUUCAGUGAAUCAUCGAAUCUUUGAACGCACAUUGCGCCCGCCAGUAUUCUGGCGGGCAUGCCUGUCCGAGCGUCAUUUCAACCCUCGAACCCCUCCGGGGGAUCGGCGUUGGGGAUCGGGACCCCUCACACGGGUGCCGGCCCCUAAAUACAGUGGCGGUCUCGCCGCAGCCUCUCCUGCGCAGUAGUUUGCACAACUCGCACCGGGAGCGCGGCGCGUCCACGUCCGUAAAACACCCAACUUUCUGAAAUGUUGACCUCGGAUCAGGUAGGAAUACCCGCUGAACUUAAGCAUAUCAAUAAGGCGGAG
rnacentral:rRNA from 1 species